GUGGGGAAUAUUGGACAAUGGGCGAAAGCCUGAUCCAGCCAUGCCGCGUGUGUGAAGAAGGUCUUCGGAUUGUAAAGCACUUUAAGUUGGGAGGAAGGGCAGUAAGUUAAUACCUUGCUGUUUUGACGUUACCGACAGAAUAAGCACCGGCUAACUUCGUGCCAGCAGCCGCGGUAAUACGAAGGGUGCAAGCGUUAAUCGGAAUUACUGGGCGUAAAGCGCGCGUAGGUGGUUCAGCAAGUUGGAGGUGAAAUACCCGGGCUCAACCUGGGAACUGCCUCCAAAACUACUGAGCUAGAGUACGGUAGAGGGUAGUGGAAUUUCCUGUGUAGCGGUGAAAUGCGUAGAUAUAGGAAGGAACACCAGUGACGAAGGCGACUACCUGGACUGAUACUGACACUGAGGUGCGAAAGCGUGGGGAGCAAACAGGAUUAGAUACCCCGGUAGUCC
rnacentral:rRNA from 1 species